rnacentral:rRNA from 1 species
CUCAAUGAAUUUCUAAUAGCCGCAAUACUUUGUGCUAAGGUAGCAUAAUCAUUCGUCUUUUAAUUAAAGACUAGAACGAAAGAUUUAACAUUUUUAUUUCUUUCUUAUGUAUUCCUAUUUAAUUUAUUUCAAAUAUUAAAAAAUAUUUAUAUUUAAAGAAGACGAUAAGACCCUAUUGAACUUUACUAAAGUUUAACUGGGGUAGUUAAUUAAAAAUAAUUUUAAUUUAAAUACUAAAAACACCUAAUAUAAUUAAAAACAUCAAGUUACCAUAGGGAUAACAGCGUAAUAAUUUUUAUAAGCUCUUAUUUAAAUAAUUGUUUGCGACCUCGAUGUUGAAUUAAUAAUCUAUUAAAAGUAAAAAUUUAAUAAGAAAGUCUGUUCGACUU